rnacentral:rRNA from 1 species
AUUGAACGCUGGCGGCAUGCCUUACACAUGCAAGUCGAACGGCAGCACGGGUGCUUGCACCUGGUGGCGAGUGGCGAACGGGUGAGUAAUACAUCGGAACAUGUCCUGUAGUGGGGGAUAGCCCGGCGAAAGCCGGAUUAAUACCGCAUACGAUCUACGGAUGAAAGCGGGGGACCUUCGGGCCUCGCGCUAUAGGGUUGGCCGAUGGCUGAUUAGCUAGUUGGUGGGGUAAAGGCCUACCAAGGCGACGAUCAGUAGCUGGUCUGAGAGGACGACCAGCCACACUGGGACUGGGACACGGCCCAGACUCCUACGGGAGGCAGCAGUGGGGAAUGUUGGACAAUGGGCGAAAGCCUGAUCCAGCAAUGCCGCGUGUGUGAAGAAGGCCUUCGGGUUGUAAAGCACUUUUGUCCGGAAAGAAAUCCUUGGCCCUAAUACGGUCGGGGGAUGACGGUACCGGAAGAAUAAGCACCGGCUAACUACGUG